UACAGAGGGUGCAAGCGUUAAUCGGAAUUACUGGGCGUAAAGCGUGCGUAGACGGUUACAUAAGUCGGGUGUGAAAGCCCCGGGCUCAACCUGGGAAUUGCAUUCGAGACUGCGUAGCUAGGGUGCGGAAGAGGGAAGCGGAAUUUCCGGUGUAGCGGUGAAAUGCGUAGAUAUCGGAAGGAACACCAGUGGCGGAAAGCGGCUUCCUGGUCCAGCACCGACGUCAGGCACGAA
rnacentral:rRNA from 1 species